GUCCUCCAGAUCAGAGGCAGUAGGGAUGACCAGGGAUGUUCUCUGUUUAGUGAGUCCUCCAGAUCAGAGGCAGUAGGGAUGACCAGGGAUGUUCUCUCGCUAAAUAUAGACUUAGCUUUCAUUCGACAUACAAUUUGACAUGCUUCUAUGACCUUGACAUGUUGGUGCUCAUGGGUCCUUUUUACAUGGAAAUGCCCUAACCUAUUAGAGCCAUACUAAGCUAGCAGUUUCAUCAAGCUCUCCAAAAUAAUGAUAUCAAUGUUUCAAAGUUCAUCAAAAACAACCGUUGGCAACAUGAGGUAAGUAGUUAAAGAACAACGUUAUUACCAAUAAUGCUAACAAUGCUAACAAAGGCAUAAGACUUAAUGGAGAGCGCUAAAGUACCGUAUGCAGAAGAGAAACACUUUUCAGGCCACUCCAAUAAAGAACAGACUUAAGUUAGGAGAAUAAACACAGCAGGUUAGGAGAAUAAACACAGCAGGUUAGGAGAAUAAACACAGCAGGUUAGGAGAACUUACGCAGCAGGUUAGGAGAAUAAACACAGCAGGUUAGGAGAAUGAGGUUUAAGUUUAUGAAAAAGGUUAGCUCUCCUGACCUGCUCCAACGAAAAUCACCUCGUUUUGAAGUGGCUCUCCCGUAUGCAGAAUCAAACAUGAUGUUCUUUACUGGAGAAACCAAACUUUUUGUUUACUGAGGUCACAUGACGGGUAAGGUCAAAAAACCGCCAGCAGCGGACUGACAAACACACCCAAAUGGUACAUGAAUAAUCACAUUACAGAAGAAAAACUAAGAAUAGAGUUUCUAGACUCUACACAAGCUAUACCUGUCCCAAACACUGAACACUCCACACAAGCUAUACCUGUCCCAAACACUGAACACUCUACACAAGCUAUACCUGUCCCAAACACUGAACACUCUACACAAGCUAUACCUGUCCCAAACACUGAACACUCUACACAGCUAUACCUGUCCCAAACACUGAACACUCUACACAGCUAUACCUGUCCCAAACACUGAACACUCUACACAGCUAUACCUGUCCCAAACACUGAAC
ensembl:lncRNA